rnacentral:rRNA from 1 species
UACGAAGGGGGCUAGCGUUGCUCGGAAUCACUGGGCGUAAAGGGUGCGUAGGCGGGUCUUUUAAGUCAGAGGUGAAAUCCUGGAGCUCAACUCCAGAACUGCCUUUGAUACUGAGGGUCUUGAGUAUGACAGAGGUGAGUGGAACUGCGAGUGUAGAGGUGAAAUUCGUAGAUAUUCGCAAGAACACCAGUGGCGAAGGCGGCUCACUGGGUCAUUACUGACGCUGAGGCACGAAAAGCGUGGGGGAGCAAACAGG